AUAAAUUUGGUAAUUCCACAUAUUAUUUGAAAAUCUCACAACUAUCAAAACCUUUAGUCUCGCUCUCUUCUCUCUCUAACAUUCUUCAGAGAGGGAGACUUUAUCCUUAUUCUGCCGUUCGGACGUGGUCCGAUAUCGCCGUUAGUUUAGCCGUGACACGGCUUUCCGUUGCCGCGUUCUUUGUCGUCCGGUUUCAUGCCGGCUUAUGUACCAAAUCUCCGCGAUGGUCAGCUCUCGUCUAGCACCGCUUAGCUUCUUCAGCAACGGAUUGAAGAUUCUUCCGUCGUUUAUCACGAUUCCUUAAGCCGUUAUCUUUAAUUUGGAGCUUUGAUGUUUUCAUUCUGGUGCAAAACACAAGAAUCAUCUCACCGGAAUCAGCUCAACGGCGAAGGUUGUUGCCGGAAAACUUUUGAUUAUUCAUCCAGCGUGUGACGUGGUAUAUCCCGGUUGUCGACAUGUGUUCAUGGAUGGAGUUCCGAUAGAAUUUCUUCUGCAGAAGGUUAUCUAAUGGGCCUUUUUUGGGCUUUAUGUAAUUCCAAAGUUGGAGCUUUUGUUUAAGCUCUUGUAUGAUAUGAUGAUGUUUAAUAAAACUUAUGAGAC
rnacentral:misc_RNA from 1 species